AACUUUGUGAAUCCGUGCACAGAUUUCAUCACACACCAACUCGUUAGGGCUGAACAGACUUCCAGGAUAAGUGAAGUU
rnacentral:pre_miRNA from 1 species